GAAAUGCGAUAAUUAAUGUGAAUUGCAGAAUUCAGUGAAUCAUCGAGUCUUUGAACGCACAUUGCGCCCCCUGGUAUUCCGGGGGGCAUGCCUGUCCGAGCGUCAUUGCUGCCCUCAAGCACGGCUUGUGUGUUGGGCUUCCGCCCCUGGCAACGGGGACGGGCCCAAAAGGCAGUGGCGGCACCAUGUCUGGUCCUCGAGCGUAUGGGGCUUUGUCACCCGCUCCCGUAGGUCCAGCUGGCAGCUAGCCUCGCAACCAAUCUUUUUAACCAGGUUGACCUCGGAUCAGGUAGGGAUACCCGCUGAACUUAAGC
rnacentral:misc_RNA from 1 species